rnacentral:rRNA from 1 species
CCUACGGGGGACUGCAGUGAGGAAUAUUGGUCAAUGGGCGCGAGCCUGAACCAGCCAAGUCGCGUGAGGGAAGACGGUCCUAUGGAUUGUAAACCUCUUUUGUCGGGGAGCAAAAGACGCCACGCGUGGCGUUCCGAGAGUUCCCGAAGAAAAAGCAUCGGCUAACUCCGUGCCAGCAGCCGCGGUAAUACGGAGGAUUCGGGCGUUAUCCGGAUUUAUUGGGUUUAAAGGGUGCGCAGGCGGAAGAUUAAGUCAGCGGUAAAAUUGAGGGGCUCAACCUCUUCGAGCCGUUGAAACUGGCGGUCUUGAGUGGGCGAGAAGUAUGCGGAAUGCGUGGUGUAGCGGUGAAAUGCAUAGAUAUCACGCAGAACUCCGAUUGCGAAGGCAGCAUGCCGGCGCCCGACUGACGCUGAGGCACGAAAGCGUGGGUAUCGAACAGGAUUAGAUACCCGGGUAGUC